UUAACUCAAAUUUGUAUGUAUUUGAAACCUUUGGCUACGUUUACCGCUAGGGACGCUGUUCAAACUGCAUACAAAUUUAAGAUA
rnacentral:pre_miRNA from 1 species